CAUCAUGAUAUAGGUACGCCCAACAUGUUCUCCAUUUGCACAGAAGUCAACAAUGCAGUAGUAGGAGUCUGAAGGUGUCAAUGGCAAAUAAUCAUUUUCUUCUUGCAAGCGUCAAUGGCAAGAAUGGCAUAUUAUGCAGAGAAAGAGGAUGAGAAGAAACUUGUGCUUCUCAUUUAAUCUUUGUCAAACUCUCUUUAUGUGCGAUUGUGCACUUGUUGGGUCCUUUUUCUAUGCACUUGCACCUGCAGAAGUAUUCUGUUGUGCACUUGUAAAAUUAUUUUGAUGUCACUUGUUAGGCCUUGAAGCUUAAUGUGUGGAGGAGUCGGUGGAUGAUGUAUUGUAUUUCAUGUGAUGUGGUACUGAAAUGAAAUAUACA